AAAAAGUAUUUUCAUCGUCGCGGAGUGAAUUUUUUUGGAUCUGUUGUUUUAAUUGCUAUGCACGCAUUUAUGAAGGUAUGUAUCAAACACCUACGUUAUUGCAUUACUAGAUUAUCAUAUUUUGUCGUACGUUCAGUGUUGUUCUCCAAUUGAUAGUGGAUUUGUUGGAAAAAAUCAAGAUAUGGCCUUGAGUCGGGUGUGGGAGAGUUGAACCAGUCGGCAGUCGGGAGACUUAAACAGUGGUUCAACUCUCCCUUUGCAGUUUGUGCACUAUUUAAGUUAGUUUUUGUUUUGUUUCAGAAAGAAAAUUCCUAUAAGCCUAAUAAGCCUAAGGAAGGUAGUCGUCACAGGAAACCGUUUACUUAGUCUGAGAUUGAAAAUGCAGACAGAGAAAUAAAGAGUGGCAGAUCUAUUCGUCAAAUUUCAAUCAAUUAGUAUGGGAUAGACAGAACCAUUUUACGACGGUAUUACAUGUUAGAUGAACAAAAGUUAACACCUUUGCAAGACAAGAGGAGCCAAUACAAAUGCUCCCAGAUUUUCAAUGUAAAUAAAGAGACAUUACUCGUUCGUUACUCAUUGACCUGCAAAAUGCACUAUGGCUUAACCAGAAAACAAGCAAUGCAACUAGCAUUUGACUUCGCCAAUUUCAUUGAAUUACCACUUAUUAAACCUAUGUUGAUUUUACAUGUGCCACAUUUAAUCUUUGAGACUGAUAGUUAUAGUAACAAAUGUCUUUAAAUUAGUUUUGUAGAUUUAUGUAGCAGAUCAAAGAUCAAAACGAAUGUUAUGUUAUGCAGUUGCUCUGAAAACAUUUGGUUAAUUAUUUUCACUAAUUUGUUUAGAAGGUGAUUAUGAAUAUUUUAGUUAUUGUUAAACGUGUCUAAAUAAUACAUUAAUUAUGUGUAGGUAA